GUGCCAGCAGCCGCGGUAAUACGUAGGGUGCAAGCGUUGUCCGGAAUUAUUGGGCGUAAAGAGCUCGUAGGCGGUUUGUCGCGUCUGCUGUGAAAUCUGGGGGCUCAACCCCCAGCCUGCAGUGGGUACGGGCAGACUAGAGUGCGGUAGGGGAGAUUGGAAUUCCUGGUGUAGCGGUGGAAUGCGCAGAUAUCAGGAGGAACACCGAUGGCGAAGGCAGAUCUCUGGGCCGUAACUGACGCUGAGGAGCGAAAGCAUGGGGAGCGAACAGGAUUAGAUACCCUGGUAGUCC
rnacentral:rRNA from 1 species